GACGAACGCUGGCGGCGUGCCUAAUACAUGCAAGUUGAGCGAUGAAGAUUGGUGCUUGCCCCAAUUUGAAGAGCAGCGCACGGGUGAGUAACGCGUGGGGAAUCUGCCUUUGAGCGGGGGACAACAUUUGGAAACGAAUGCUAAUACCGCAUAACAACUUUAAACAUAAGUUUUAAGUUUGAAAGAUGCAAUUGCAUCACUCAAAGAUGAUCCCGCGUUGUAUUAGCUAGUUGGUGAGGUAAAGGCUCACCAAGGCGAUGAUACAUAGCCGACCUGAGAGGGUGAUCGGCCACAUUGGGACUGAGACACGGCCCAAACUCCUACGGGAGGCAGCAGUAGGGAAUCUUCGGCAAUGGACGAAAGUCUGACCGAGCAACGCCGCGUGAGUGAAGAAGGGUUUCGGAUCGUAAAACUCUGUUGGUAGAGAAGAACGUUGGUGAGAGUGGAAAGCUCAUCAAGUGACGGUAACUACCCAGAAAGGGACGGCUAACUACGUG
rnacentral:rRNA from 1 species